rnacentral:rRNA from 1 species
GCAUAUCAAUAAGCGGAGGAAAAGAAACUAACAAGGAUUCCCCUAGUAACGGGCGAGUGAAGAGGGAAGAGCCCAAGAUUGAAAGCUGGCACCUUCGGUGUCCGCAUUGUAAUCUCAAGAAGUGUUUUCCGCUUCGGACCAGGCCAAAGUCCCUUGGAAAAGGGUAUCGUAGAGGGUGAUAAUCCCGUACAUGGUUUGGAGCGCCCGAGGCUUUGUGAUACGCUUUCUAAGAGUCGCGUUGUUUGGGAAUGCAGCGCAAAAUGGGUGGUAAAUGCCAUCUAAGGCUAAAUAUUGGGGAGAGACCGAUAGCGAACAAGUACAGUGAUGGAAAGAUGAAAAGAACUUUGAAAAGAGAGUUAAACAGUACGUGAAAUUGCCAAAAGGGAAGGGUAGGAGGUCAGAGAUGUGGUCUGGAAAUCAACCGGGCUUUUGCUUCGGGGUACUUUCCAGUCUCGCAGGCCAACGUCGGUUUUGGGCGCUGGAAAAGGGUAGGGGGAAUGUGGCACCUCUCGGGGUGUGUUAUAGCCUCCUACUGGAUACAGUGACCGAGACCGAGGAACGCAGCGUACUCGCAAGAACGGGCCUUCGGGCCACCUUUUACCUCUUUAGGGCGUUGGCAUAAUGGCCUUCUACCACCCGUCUUGAAACACGG